rnacentral:lncRNA from 1 species
GAAGCCAGAGGAAUCAAAUAGGAAGAAACAGAAACUCAUUAGAUGCAUGUCUUCCUCAAAGCUUCUAACUUUGGUUGUUUUGAAUUGGAUUAAAAAUCUUAAAUUCUCAGGUCCUUGAAGUCUUUGAUUAUUUGUACAGCGGAUUAUAGUUCAACAAGGCACUUGAUGUUGAGAAAAGAAUAAACAUGGCUUGAAAUGGAUUGUCAAAUAGAAUUUAAAACACUGUAGACUGAAGAACUUUUUUUGCUUAAUGUUCAUGAAUCAAGGGUGUAAAUUUCUUGUCUCUCGUGGUUAUGCUGAUUUCUUUUUAAUGCACUAGCGAUGUUUGCUGAAGUGAGAAAAAUAUAUUUUUUUAGUCAUAUAUAGUUUUUGACUUCUAA